rnacentral:rRNA from 1 species
ACACUCGCCGCACAGGUGGAUAGCGAGAACNCGUCUAAUACCGCAUGACGCGGGAGAGGCGCAUGCCCUUUCCGCCAAAGGAGGCGACUCCGGUGCCGGCUGGGCACGCGUGACAUUAGCUAGUUGGCGGGGCGACGGCCCACCAAGGCGACGAUGUCUAGGGGUUCUGAGAGGAAGGUCCCCCACACUGGUACUGAGACACGGACCAGACUCCUACGGAAGGCAGCAG